AUGGAGACCAUAAUUUACCAGGAAGAAAUAAACAUGCUGAACAACUUUUUGACCACAGAUCAUCUUGAGCGAUACCAAGAUGCCAAGGUAUAUUUUUUUGAAACUAUCCGAAAAAUGGGUCGAGCGUCACAAGUGGUCAUUAAGGCUUUGGAGGACGAACAAAAGGCCCACAAUGAAACCAAGAGAAAUUAUGAGCGGACUACUGAAACGCUGAAAGGGAAAGACUGUCUCAUAAUUUCUCUUCAGGAAGGCAUUGCGACAGGAGAAGCGAAAGUUUUAGCCGCUGAACAACUGGCAAACGAUUACAAGCAGAUGUUACUUGAAGAACAAAAGGCUCAUCAAGAAAUGAGAAGAUCUUACAGUGAAACAGUGAACACUUUGAUUGAAAACAACGAUUGUCUGAAGGUUUCAUUGAAGGAACUGAGUGAAUCAAAUCAAACCAGUGAUCUCAGUCCCACACAAGUGGAAGAGAUUUUUCAGCGGGGAUUAGAAAAAGCAAAAAGCUCUAAAUUAGAGCCAAAAGACUUAAUCAUUAGUAAUCUGCAAUCUCAGAACAAAGCGCUCUGUGUUCAGAUUCAGCACAGCACAUCCGACUUUAGAAAGGGCCUUGAAGAAACACGAAAGGGUGUUAUGAGGGAUCUCCAGGAGCUGAAUGCUUUCUGUCUGGGCCUCGAAGAACAUUUUCAAAGUGGGAUUGCAAGCUACAAGCAACAGGUAGAAUUUUUAGAGCAGGAACUAGAAAAAGAGAAAGCAUCUCAUGCUGAGACGCGGGAAACACAACAAAAUAUUAUUCUCACUAUUCAGGCAGAGAAAGAGGCGCUCCGUCUUCAGACGAUGAAGGCUGCCGAUGAGAUUCAACGGCAGUUUGCAGAAGAAAAACGUCAAUUAGAAGAGAAUCUGGAGCAGAAAGACGUUUUGUAUCAAAGCCUCGACGAUACAUAUAGAGCUGAGCUUUCAGAUGUCAAACAGCAGAUGGAAAAUUUAAGCCAGGAGUUAGAGGAGGAAAAACAAAUUCGUAAAGAAAGAGAAGAAAUGAUUUUUACUAUUCAGGCAGAGAAAGACGAUCUCUGUUCCCAAAUGCAGCAGCAGACAUCUGAUUUGAACAAAUUGCACGACGAAACAACGAGAAAUUUUAUAAAGAAGCUUGAGGAGAAAGACGUUUUGUAUCAAAGCCUCGAACAAAAGUGUGAAACUCAGCUUUCAGAGCGCCAUCAGCUGAUUGAGAGUUUGAAGCAGGAGUUGGACACAAAACGGCAACAACAUUUCGACGAACUCCAGGAAACUCAGGCACAGAACGACGCGAUCCGUCUUCAAACGAUGAAGGCUGCCCUUGAGCUGGGACGGCAGUUUGAACAAAACAUACGUCAAUUAGAAGAGAAUCAGGAGCAGAAAGACGUUUUGUAUCAAAGCCUCGACGAUACAUAUAGAGCUGAGCUUUCAGAGAGCCGUCAGCAAGUAGAACAUUUACACCGGGAAUUGGAGAAAGAAGUGAAAGCUCGUAAAGAAAAGGAGGAAAUGAUUAGGAUUGUUCAGGAUGAAAAAGUAGAGCUUUAUAAUCAGAUGGCAGACAAAGCACGAGCUAUGGAAGGACAGUUUGAAACAGAAAAGAGGAAUUUUAUGAAAGAUCUGGAGGAGAGAGAGGUUUCUUGUCAGGACCUCGAGAGAAAGUAUAAAACUGAGGUUUUUAAUAGUAAACGGCAGCAACAGGAGAUGGAAAAAGAACGUGAAGAAGCAGCACAAACUAUUUUAACUAUUCAGUCUGAAAAAGAGGCGCUUAGAGUCCAGAUGGCACAGCAGUUAGACGUAGAAAAGAGCACAUUUCAGAAAGAACUGAACAAUACACAAAGUUUAUACCGGGACCUUAGAAAAAAGUAUAUGGAGCUGUUCUUUGUAGCAGCAAAUAGUUGCUAA
rnacentral:lncRNA from 1 species